UUAAAAAGAUCAGAUUUGACCCAAAUAGCCCAAGUAACUGAAUCGACUUCCAAGUUCGCUAAUCUCAAUUACGAUGCCGUCGAAAGCCAAAGCUGCAUAUAGCGAGAAGAGAUGAUCGGAGAAUCAAACCUGUAACCGCUGAUGCGAUCGGUGAUCUGACGUGUGAUCAGUUUGAUGACCGCAUCCUGAGAGCGGUAUUGAUUGUUGUGUAACCUUUUGUUCCUCUCCUGCCAUACCCAGUAUAUCGUCGAUUGCCAACAUAACAAUUGGUUGCAGGUGACAUCUUCUGGAAAUCUCCACCCAAAUUCCCCAACUGUAUGGACACAGAUAGAAUAAAUGGUCCCUUGAUUCAGCAGCCUGAUUACAGAGAAGACAAGCCCCAUCCGUUUGAAGUCCCCAGCCUAUAAGACGGUCCCUAGUUGGGCAUCUAUUCAGUACAAACAACCAAGUUAGGAAGUUGUGGCGUGGAAUUCCUCUACCAAUCCAAACAAUUGAAGCCCACGCGAUCCUCUGUCUCAGUCAGACCUAAUGUUGUGAAGAAUAUAUGGAGUUGAAGCAUACUUUCAGAGCGUGGAGGAGGAAGUCUCCAGUUUCCACCAACAAAAAGGUCCGCUACGGUUGUUUUCAAGCUUAUACCCAUACCUGAAGUAUGGUCUGAGAGCAGAAACUGUGAAAGUUUCCCAAAGGGGGACCAAUUAUCUGACCAGAAGCGACAGGAUUCUCCAUUGCCUACUUGCAUCCUUAUCCAGGUAUAGACUUCAUCUCUGAGCUUGAAAAGCUUAUUGACAAGCCAUGAGUUUGAUGUUGAAGGUCUCAUAGUCCAGAAAUUUGAAAGGGAGCCUUUUAGAACUUCUGCCUUGAACCAUCCCACCCAAAUUGAUCCUGCUUGAAAGAACAGCAACCAUAUCAGUUUUAUACAACACGCCUUGUAAAAACUCUUGAUCCUAAAAUAUGCAAUUUUCAGUUUUCAAUUUUGUUGUCUUGAACAAAGUACAUAGAACGCUAAAAAAUGAAUUUAAAAAGUAACAAAGGAAAUGAUCAUCGUGAGUGUUUGUAUUUAAUCGGUGUUGAAUUACUUCAACAAGAAAGAAGAAUUACUCGCCAUUGAUGAACCAGUAAGAGUUAUGCUAAUUCAAACUUGGAAAGAGAGGGUAUAAUUUAUCUUCAGGCAAAUCUACAAAAAUACUUUUAAACAAUUUUUAUCAAUAAAAUAUCACAUAAGGAAGAAAAUGAUUAAUUAUA